rnacentral:rRNA from 1 species
AAUGCAGCUGAAGUGGCUCCCCGUCAGGCUCAGGAUGCGUGGGUGGGCUCUGCUUCUCUGUCGGGAGCCGUGAGGCACCGCGGAGAGGCGGGUCGCCGACAACUCUGCAUUUCUGCGGGGAGCCGGCCAACAGCAGUUGUUCCUGGCUCACAAGGGCUCUUGGGAAGGUAGCCCCGCGUUCGCGUGGGGAACUUAUAGCCUCGAGUCUGGCCAGUCUGGGAGCGACUGAGGAGAGUUGCGAUUUUUCGCACGAGCAGCGUGGGCCUUCAGGGGCUGGGCCCCUCUUGUUCGGUCGGCGGUCGUCGUCGUCACUGCGUGCAGUGGCUUCGGUCGUCUUUGCUUGCUGGGCUCGAGGUCGGUCACAACUUGCGCUGCGGUUGUUGGUGUCCAAA